rnacentral:rRNA from 1 species
GUGGGGAAUCUUGCGCAAUGGGCGAAAGCCUGACGCAGCCAUGCCGCGUGAAUGAUGAAGGUCUUAGGAUUGUAAAAUUCUUUCACCGGGGACGAUAAUGACGGUACCCGGAGAAGAAGCUCCGGCUAACUUCGUGCCAGCAGCCGCGGUAAUACGAAGGGUGCAAGCGUUAUCCGGAUUCAUUGGGUUUAAAGGGUGCGUAGGCGGAGCGUUAAGUCAGUGGUGAAAUCCUGCAGCUUAACUGUAGACUUGCCAUUGAUACUGGCGCUCUUGAGUGCGCUUGAAGUGGGCAGAAUGUGCCGUGUAGCGGUGAAAUGCUUAGAUAUGGCACAGAACACCAAUUGCGAAGGCAGCUCACUAAGGCGAUACUGACGCUGAGGCACGAAAGCGUGGGGAUCGAACAGGAUUAGAUACCCUUGUAGUCC